rnacentral:lncRNA from 1 species
UUGUCAUUGGUGUUAAAAAUCGAGUUUUCGCAACAUUCAUUGAACGUUGCCGAAAAAAUCUUUUCGCAACGUUCAAGUCUUUUUUGUAACAUUUGUUAGAAUGUUUCGAACGUUGCUAAAGGUCACUUUCUGCAACGAUCAACGAACGUUGUUAAAAGUCUUUUCGCAACGUUCUUACACACGAAUGUUGUGAAAAGUCUCGCCCCUUUCUUUUGACAUAUAAACCUAACUCCUCAUUUCACAAUUUGGGUGUUCUUCCCAGCUCUUGCCCCCGGCUACGGUAGUGCUUUAUAUCUCUCUCCCCCCAGUUUCUUUUCACCCUCCCUAGCAGACGUGAUCGUAUAGCUUUCUCGCCCUUCGCCAUCUCCGAUUCUCCACUCCGAAGUCUGCACGUUGCUUCUUGAGUAGUUGAGUUAAUCCAUUGCUCUCGUCUACCGUCUGCACUGUGUCAGUAAUCUCCCGUCGUUGUUGGAACUCUACGGUAUGUAACAUUUUAUUUAAGCUGUUGUCUUCCACUUUUAGUGUCUGUAAUGUUACUAUGUUAAUGUUCUCUCCCGGUUUUUUGAAUGUUGAUUUUGGUAUUAUUCAUUCCUGUAAUUAAUUGUGUUUUUACCAACUUAGAAUUUUUUUGAUUUAGGGAUUUCUAAUUUAGGAAUUCGGGCUUUAUGAUUUAGUGUCUUGGGAUUUGAAAAUUUGAUGAUUUAUAAGGUUUAUCACAUGAUUGAAAUUUUUGAGUGAUUAUUAGUGUUUUAUACUUAAUAUCUUCCGCCAUUUUCUUGAUUUAUCUUUUCUUCUACUUAUAUAGUGAGUUCUUUUGAAUGAUUAGUAAUUUCAGAGUCA